AUGAGAUGGCCUAUGUCUGUCCUAGCAAUUGCGAACCAUUUUCAUCAAGCAAAUGAGAAGAACAGGGUGACAAAUGAACAAAGAUGGUUGAAACCCAGUUCAAAUUUUGUUAAGUUAAAUGUAGAUGCCUCCUUCUAUGCGGAUGAGGGUGCUGGAGCAUCGGCGUCAAUCCUUAGAGAUGAGAAGGGUAAUUUUUUGGCAGCUCAGUGCAAAUAUAUUCAGUAUGCAUCUGAUGUAGUAACCUCGGAAGCUAUGGCGAUGAGAGAUGGAUUGAUCUUUGCAAGCUCAUUAGGAUUCAACAGGGUGGAGGCAGAGUCAGAUUCUUCAAUUGUUAUUGACUAUUGCUCGGGACAGACAGAAUGGUGGGAUUUGGCUGCAGCAGUAUUUGCGGAAUGCGUUGACGUGUCUUUAUCAAUUGGGAAGGUUAUCUUUAAACAUUGUGCUCGUUCUUCGAAUCAAGCGGCGCAUGUGCUAGCUAGUUACUGUUUUUGUAAUAAGAUUUGUAGUUCAUGGACUUAUGAGCCCCCGACUUGUCUGGUUUCCAAACUCAUAGACGAUGUAAUUCCUAUUUGA
rnacentral:rRNA from 1 species